AACUCCCUGUACAGUUGAACGUCGUCAGAUUACCGUUACAUACAGGAAUCCGCCAAAGGAUAAGAUAGUCACCAUAAAACUCAAGACUGGGCUAAGUUUUAUUUCACCUCCUAAGAGACUGCUUCUUCCAUCAUUUUUUCUCUGUAGAGAUUGGUCAUGGCAAGGGAAAGGAACAUUUCAGACCCACAGAAGUGUGGAAUUUUGAUGGAAUUGAGAACUUACAUGUCUCCAAAAACAAACUCAUGCAUUUUUUCUCCUGAAAGAGGGAAGAAAAACUUACAAAACAGAUCACUCAAGCCUGAAAGAGAACUAGGUGGAAGUUCCUCACUGAAGGAACAGUGACCUUAUAAAGGUACCUUUACUGAGUAUGAUAGUCAUCAGGCCUGUACCUCCAAUGAAGCAGCUCUGAAAGCCGGUGACCAUGUUACUAUGCUACUCCAGGUGCAUUCUCUAUGCUUUGGAUCAUGAUGACAAAAUUGCUUGAAUAAACCUGUGUAUGUAAUUUGGUUUCCACUUUCCUGCUCACAAGUGCACAAAGUAAGCUUUAUGCCUACUACUCCUGCUAUUGCCUUUAAGGAUGCAGCACAUUCCUCUUGUUUCCCUCAGUUCUUUCCCAUCACCAUUUGAAGGCUUCAGCUAUGCUCACUAACACACUUCUUCCAUCACUGAUCGAGCCAGACCAACUUACAUAUGCUGCAAAUCAGCUGUUUUUUCCAAAACACAUUACUGUAAUGGAAGGCGGGUUUGCUUUAUGAUUUCCCAUUUCCUUUUGGCUUAACCUCUCCGUCUCACCUCUCAUGUUUUAUAUUUCAGCGAGGCAUUUGCUUGCAGAAUCUCCAUUUCACGGUUUCUGAAAAGUCUAAUCAGAUUUCACUCAGAAAAAUCUCUCCACAGGUGAAAGUGCUGCAUCAGAAAGCAAAACCUGCACCAGCAGAGAUUAUAGGAGUCCAUGAGAAUUAGUGGUAGCAGGACUGGUAAUUCACAGUGGAGAACUGAGACCUUUUUACCUUAGCCCAUUCCAAAGUGCUUUAAAUUCAUACUAUUUAAAAGAUCAUCUCUGUUCAGCUUCCUGACCACCAAAUCUCAGAAGUUUCAAGCACUUUUUGCACUAGAUGACAAUGAUCCUGGCAGUCAAAUGGUCCGAGUCUCUCUAGCUCAGUUCUCAGAUACCUGCAAAGCAAAAUGCUGAAGAAGUAAGUUUCUUUAACAUAUGGAAGGGAGAGUUUUGUAUUGUCAGGUGCAUCUGAUCCAUAAAAAACCCACAAGUCUGUUCU